rnacentral:rRNA from 1 species
GUGAACGCUGGCGGCAGGCCUAACACCUGCAAGUCGAGCGGCAGCGCGGGGGCAACCCUGGCGGCGAGCGGCGGACGGGUGAGGAAUUCGUCGGAAUCUGCCUUUUUGUGGGGGAUAACGUAGGGAAACUUACGCUAAUACCGCAUACGUCCUACGGGAGAAAGUGGGGGACCGCAAGGCCUCACGCAGAAAGAUGAGCCGACGACCGAUUAGCUAGUUGGUGGGGUAAAGGCCCACCAAGGCGACGAUCGGUAGCUGGUCUGAGAGGAUGAUCAGCCACACUGGGACUGAGACACGGCCCAGACUCCUACGGGAGGCAGCAGUGGGGAAUAUUGGACAAUGGGCGCAAGCCUGAUCCAGCCAUGCCGCGUGUGUGGAGAAGGCCUUCGGGUUGUAAAGCACUUUUGUCCGGAAAGAAAUCCCUGGAGCUAAUACCUUCGGGGGAUGACGGUACCGGAAGAAUAAGCACCGGCUAACUUCGUG